UACGGAGGGUGCAAGCGUUAUCCGGAUUCACUGGGGUUAAAGGGUGCGUAGGUGGGCAGGUAAGUCAGUGGUGAAAUCUCUGGGCUUAACUCAGAAACUGCCAUUGAUACUGGCGGGCUUGAGUACAGACGAGGUAGGCGGAAUUGAUUGUGUAGCGGUGAAAUGCAUAGAUACAAUCAAGAACACCGAUUGCGUAGGCAGCUUACUAGGCUGUAACUGACGCUGAGGCACGAAAGCGUGGAGAGCGAACAGG
rnacentral:rRNA from 1 species